AUUGAACGCUGGCGGCAUGCUUUAUACAUGCAAGUCGAACGGCCGCGCGGGCUUCGUCCUGCCCGCGAGUGGCGAACGGGCGAGUAAUUCACCCGUACGUGACCUGCCGAUGGGGAUAGCAUGGCGUAAGCCGGCCUAAUCUCGUAUACGACCUGAGGGUGAAACCCGUGGUUCUUCAGACCACGCGCUUUUUGAUCUGCCUUUGGCAGAUUAGCUAGUUGGUUGGGUAAAGGCCUACCAAGGCGACGAUCUGUAGCUGGUCUGAGAGGCCGACCUGCCACACUGGAACUGAGACACGGUCCAGACUCCUACGGGAGGCAGCAGUAGGGAAUUUUGGACAAUGGGCGAAAGCCUGAUCGAGCAAUGCCGCGUGUGUGAUGAAGGCCUUCGGGUUGUAAAGCACUGUUAGCAGGGACGAAAAGGAGUAUGCCAAUCCCUCGAUUCGUUGACGGUACCCGCAGAGUAAGCACCGGCUAACUACGUG
rnacentral:rRNA from 1 species